UUGACGGGGCCCGCACAAGCGGUGGAGUAUGUGGUUUAAUUCGAUGCAACGCGAAGAACCUUACCUGGUCUUGACAUCCCGGAGACCCUUAGGAAACUAGGGGGUGCUUCCAUCUGGAAGAAUCUGGAGACAGGUGCUGCAUGGCUGUCGUCAGCUCGUGUCGUGAGAUGUUGGGUUAAGUCCCGCAACGAGCGCAACCCUUGCCUUUAGUUGCCAGCAGUUCGGCUGGGCACUCUAAAGGGACUGCCGGUGUUAAACCGGAGGAAGGUGGGAUGACGUCAAGUCCUCAUGGCCUUUAUGACCAGGGCUACACACAUACUACAAUGGCCGAUACAAAGGGCAGCGACACUGCGAGGUGAAGCCAAUCCCGUAAAAUCGGUCUCAGUCCGGAUUGGAGUCUGCAACUCGACUCCAUGAAGUUGGAAUCGCUAGUAAUCGUGGAUCAGCAUGCCACGGUGAAUACGUUCCCGGGCCUU
rnacentral:rRNA from 1 species